GCAAACUUGGUCAUUUAGAGGAAGUAAAAGUCGUAACAAGGUUUCCGUAGGUGAACCUGCGGAAGGAUCAUUAACGAUUUCGGUGUAAAAAACCGUUUUCUACCUAUGUCUACGCGUACCACUGUUUCCUCGGGGGGCUUGCUCCCCGCUAGGACCCUUUAUCAAACCUUUUUGUAAUAGCAGUCAGCGUCUGAUACUAAGUUAAUUAUUAAAACUUUCAACAAUGGAUCUCUUGGUUCUGGCAUCGAUGAAGAACGCAGC
rnacentral:misc_RNA from 1 species